UGGGGAAUAUUGCACAAUGGGCGAAAGCCUGAUGCAGCGACGCCGCGUGAGGGAUGACGGCCUUCGGGUUGUAAACCUCUUUCGACUCCGACGAAGCGAAAGUGACGGUAGGAGUAUAAGAAGCACCGGCCAACUACGUGCCAGCAGCCGCGGUAAUACGUAGGGUGCGAGCGUUGUCCGGAAUUACUGGGCGUAAAGAGCUUGUAGGCGGCUUGUCGCGUCGAUCGUGAAAACUCGGGGCUCAACCCCGAGCUUGCGGUCGAUACGGGCAGGCUUGAGUACUUCAGGGGAGACUGGAAUUCCUGGUGUAGCGGUGAAAUGCGCAGAUAUCAGGAGGAACACCGGUGGCGAAGGCGGGUCUCUGGGAAGUAACUGACGCUGAGAAGCGAAAGCAUGGGUAGCGAACAGG
rnacentral:rRNA from 1 species